rnacentral:rRNA from 1 species
AGUGACCGAUAGUGAACCAGUACCGUGAGGGAAAGGUGAAAAGCACCCCGGAAGGGGAGUGAAAGAGAUCCUGAAACCGUGUGCCUACAAGUAGUCAGAGCCCGUUAACGGGUGAUGGCGUGCCUUGUGUAGAAUGAACCGGCGAGUUACGAUCCCGUGCAAGGUUAAGCAGAAGAUGCGGAGCCGCAGCGAAAGCGAGUCUGAAUAGGGCGAAUUGAGUACGUGGUCGUAGACCCGAAACCAGGUGAUCUACCCAUGUCCAGGGUGAAGUUCAGGUAACACUGAAUGGAGGCCCGAACCCACGCACGUUGAAAAG